GGCGGCAGGCUUAACACAUGCAAGUCGAGCGAUCCCUUCGGGGAUAGCGGCGGACGGGUGAGUAACGCGUGGGAACGUGCCCUUCACUACGGAAUAGCCCAUGGAAACGUGGAUUAAUACCGUAUACGCCCUUCGGGGGAAAGAAUUUCGGUGAGGGAUCGGCCCGCGUCUGAUUAGGUAGUUGGUGGGGUAAUGGCCUACCAAGCCGACGAUCAGUAGCUGGUUUUAGAGGAUGAUCAGCCACACUGGGACUGAGACACGGCCCAGACUCCUACGGGAGGCAGCAGUGGGGAAUCUUAGACAAUGGGGGCAACCCUGAUCUAGCCAUGCCGCGUGAGUGAUGAAGGUCUUAGGAUCGUAAAGCUCUUUCGCCUGUGAUGACAAUGACAGUAGCAGGUAAAGAAACCCCGGCUAACUCCGUGCCAGCAGCCGCGGUAAUACGGAGGGGGUUAGCGUUGUUCGGAAUUACUGGGCGUAAAGCGCGCGUAGGCGGACUGGAAAGUUGGGGGUGAAAUCCCGGGGCUCAACCCCGGAACUGCCUCCAAAACUAUCAGUCUAGAGUUCGAGAGAGGUGAGUGGAAUUGCGAGUGUAGAGGUGAAAUUCGUAGAUAUUCGCAGGAACACCAGUGGCGAAGGCGGCUCACUGGCUCGAUACUGACGCUGAGGUGCGAAAGUGUGGGGAGCAAA
rnacentral:rRNA from 1 species